rnacentral:rRNA from 1 species
AGUGAACGCUGGCGGCGUGCUUAACACAUGCAAGUCGAACGAGAACGGGUUAUAGCUUGCUAUAAUUGUCAGCUAAGUGGCGCACGGGUGAGUAAUGUAUAGGUAAUAUGCCUCUUACUAAGGGAUAACAAAUGGAAACGUUUGCUAAUACCUUAUACUCCUUAUUAACAUAAGUUAAUAAGGGAAAGAUUUAUUGGUAAGAGAUUAGCCUGUAUUGUAUCAGUUAGUUGGUGGGGUAAUGGCUUACCAAGACUAUGACACAUAACUGGUUUGAGAGGAUGAUCAGUCACACUGGAACUGAGACACGGUCCAGACUCCUACGGGAGGCAGCAGUGGGGAAUCUUGGACAAUGGGCGCAAGCCUGAUCCAGCCAUGCCGCGUGGAUGAUGAAGGCCUUAGGGUUGUAAAAUCCUUUCAACGGGGACGAGUAAUGACGGUACCCGUAGAAGAAGCCCCGGCUAACUUCGUG